GAUGAACGCUGGCGGCGUGCCUAAUACAUGCAAGUCGAGCGAACGGACGAGAAGCUUGCUUCUCUGAUGUUAGCGGCGGACGGGUGAGUAACACGUGGAUAACCUACCUAUAAGACUGGGAUAACUUCGGGAAACCGGAGCUAAUACCGGAUAAUAUUAUGAACCGCAUGGUUCAAAAGUGAAAGACGGUCUUGCUGUCACUUAUAGAUGGAUCCGCGCUGCAUUAGCUAGUUGGUAAGGUAACGGCUUACCAAGGCAACGAUGCAUAGCCGACCUGAGAGGGUGAUCGGCCACACUGGAACUGAGACACGGUCCAGACUCCUACGGGAGGCAGCAGUAGGGAAUCUUCCGCAAUGGGCGAAAGCCUGACGGAGCAGCGCUGCGUGAGUGAUGAAGGUCUUCGGAUCGUAAAACUCUGUUAUUAGGGAAGAACAUAUGUGUAAGUAACUGCGCACAUCUUGACGGUACCUAAUCAGAAAGCCACGGCUAACUACGUG
rnacentral:rRNA from 1 species